UUAUACUUCUGGGUCUUAUAGUAAAAAAAAUAAAUAAAUAAAGAGCAAACAAAAAGACAGGCUUUUGUCUAAAAGGACACAACCACCAGGCGCUCCACGGCUGAAGUUUGUUUUCACUUGUCUUCACUCCUCUAAUGAACGACCCAAACUUAACGGCACGCAGGUUCCCUUUCGGGUUAUUUCACAGAAAAGGGCUCCGCGCCCCGAGGACACCGUCACUGUACCCGGGAAGGGAUGACACGGAGAGCGACUCGUUACUGAACUAAAACAUGACCCACCCACGGACUCCGUUUUUUUCCGGAGCAAUUAAUCAUAUCAAAGAGCAAGUUAUUUCAACAAAUAUGACAAACCAACCUCAGAGCACAAAGCUGGGAGAUAAAAUUAACACCACAGCACCAUUUCAAAACUAUAAGCAAUGACAACACACAACCCCCGCACCCACUCUUACGUAAACUUCUGGAGUAAGCAAACUUCUUUGGCCUCACGUUUGUUUUCACCUACCGAGGCCUUUUCAAGAUAAGACACCAGUUACAAGACAACCGAAAGAUCAAAAGAUGAAGCUGUCCCCGUAGGAGAAACAACUAAAAAUCCCUCGGCUCUCCUCUAAGAAGAAAAGGAAACCCGUAAACCAAGUCACUCCGCCGCCAGGCGGAGACGCCUGGUGAGGAGCCCGAGAGCCGCAGGUGAGCGUUGCGACCCGCAGACCCGAGUUGAAGCGGGACCCCUACGCCGCGGCGCCGCCCGCGUCCGGAGCCCACGCGCAGGGGGAGGUGCCGGUGCCCACCACACGACCCGCGGGCUCCGCUCCCCUGGCCCGGGCCCACCUCCACCCAACCACCUGUGUGCGAGCCGCCUCCAACUAGUUUCAACAGACGGCCGGGCAGGCAGCGGGCGGAGUCCCGCGCCGGGAAAACCCUCGAUCUCCUACUGCCCCGCGGUCGGGAGCUCCCACUCACUGGGCAGCGGCCGGGCUGCAGCUAGGCACGCGACACCGCGGUGUCUGAGGACGCGUCCUCGGCUUCCUGGUCCCGCAGAGCUGGAGAGCCCACAACCAUAACAAAGCUCUUCCCAAAAUGGCUGCCCGGCCCACACUGCCCAGGAGGGGCCCGGCGGGUGGAGGGGGAGGAGCGACGCUCGGCCCAGCCCGCCCCCAUUCAACACCGCCGCACACACACGCCCACUCCCAACGCCCACUAGGGACGCACGCGCACGCGCCCUGCUCGGGUGACCCUGCCGGCGCCCCACGCCGGCAACGUUCGGGGCACGUGAGCGGCGGUUAUUCCCUGCCCCGCCCCCAGCUCCCUCCGCCUCGACCAGAGGCGGGGCCCGCGGACUUUGGUGCUCCCCCUCGUCCCCCGGCCCAACCCUAGAGCCGGGACGCGUGUCAAUGAGUGCGUGGGGGUGUGUGUCUAUAUGUACCCGCCUUUUCCUGCUCCUCCGUUCUUCACCCUCCCACACCCCGUCCCCAAAUUACCUCCACAAGGACUAGCAAACCCGUUUCGUAGGAGCGUGCGUUUGCCGACCCUUCCCCACCUUCCGCUCCUUCGCGAGCGCGUGUCGUUAAGACUCCAGCCCCCCGCGGGCCACACGACCGGGCUCGGGAGGCCAGCGCUCCGGCGCGCGACGCGCUACCCGCCGGGAGUGGUAGUUCCGCUGCCGGCUGGCGUCACGCCCUGGACCGGCACAGUGCGGCUUUCUGGCCUCUGCUCAGCCGAGAAGCUGUUCCCCAAACUAAAUAAAGUCUCAUGGGUAUUGCACGACGGGAAGGGGCGGCGCUGCCAAGACGCACAGAGGAGGAAAUAAAAGCGAAAGCCUAUCGCACCCAGAAGCGGUUACAGUUACGAAGAGUUUGCUGUGAGCCCAUCCAGCAAUGGGAGCUACACCACACGAUGACCCGCAGCCGGGAAGCUGGGCCACGCAGAAUCCGGAGGGAUGGAGAAACUGCCUAGCGUGGGCCUCUUGAGCUGUCCUUUUACUUGGCUUAAGAAGGCCACUCAAAUUGCUUGGUGCUGUUCCUCUUUGAUAGAUUGUAAAAUGGAGAAGGGAAAGAACUCGCCCAAGGUCACAUAACCGACAAAAAUUAAAGCCAAGGGUGAGAGGAUGAAUGAUCUUUUUGAAUCACCCCCAAAGCUCUUACUAUUACACCUUUCAUGAGCAUGAAAAUCCUGCCCCUUGUGCUCUUUAAAAAAAAUUAUUUAUUGACAGUAUUACAGAUGUCCAUUCCUCCUUUCUGUCCCCCUACACCCAGUCCCAGCCCCACCCCAGGCCUUCCCCACACUGUACGUCCAUGGGUUAUGCAUAUAUGCAUAUAUGUCCUUUGGUUAAUCUUUUCCGUCCUCUCCCCCGUCCUCCCCGUCUUUCCUUAAAAAAAAAAAAAAAAAAAAA